UUCUGAGACCAUACCAUGAUACCAUGUCCGAUCUUGUCUGAUCUCAGAAGCUAAGCAGGGCCGGGCCUGGUUAGUACAUGGAUGGGAGAAGUUCUAAAAUCAAGGUGUCAGUAG
rnacentral:rRNA from 1 species